rnacentral:rRNA from 1 species
AAAUUGAAGAGUUUGAUCAUGGCUCAGAUUGAACGCUGGCGGCAGGCCUAACACAUGCAAGUCGAGCGGUAGCACAGAGAGCUUGCUCUCGGGUGACGAGCGGCGGACGGGUGAGUAAUGUCUGGGAAACUGCCUGAUGGAGGGGGAUAACUACUGGAAACGGUAGCUAAUACCGCAUAACGUCGCAAGACCAAAGUGGGGGACCUUCGGGCCUCAUGCCAUCAGAUGUGCCCAGAUGGGAUUAGCUGGUAGGUGGGGUAACGGCUCACCUAGGCGACGAUCCCUAGCUGGUCUGAGAGGAUGACCAGCCACACUGGAACUGAGACACGGUCCAGACUCCUACGGGAGGCAGCAGUGGGGAAUAUUGCACAAUGGGCGCAAGCCUGAUGCAGCCAUGCCGCGUGUGUGAAGAAGGCCUUCGGGUUGUAAAGCACUUUCAGCGGGGAGGAAGGCGAUAAGGUUAAUAACCUUGUCGAUUGACGUUACCCGCAGAAGAAGCACCGGCUAACUCCGUGCCAGCAGCCGCGGUAAUACGGAGGGUGCAAGCGUUAAUCGGAAUUACUGGGCGUAAAGCGCACGCAGGCGGUCUGUCAAGUCGGAUGUGAAAUCCCCGGGCUCAACCUGGGAACUGCAUUCGAAACUGGCAGGCUAGAGUCUUGUAGAGGGGGGUAGAAUUCCAGGUGUAGCGGUGAAAUGCGUAGAGAUCUGGAGGAAUACCGGUGGCGAAGGCGGCCCCCUGGACAAAGACUGACGCUCAGGUGCGAAAGCGUGGGGAGCAAACAGGAUUAGAUACCCUGGUAGUCCACGCUGUAAACGAUGUCGAUUUGGAGGUUGUGCCCUUGAGGCGUGGCUUCCGGAGCUAACGCGUUAAAUCGACCGCCUGGGGAGUACGGCCGCAAGGUUAAAACUCAAAUGAAUUGACGGGGGCCCGCACAAGCGGUGGAGCAUGUGGUUUAAUUCGAUGCAACGCGAAGAACCUUACCUGGUCUUGACAUCCACAGAACUUUCCAGAGAUGGAUUGGUGCCUUCGGGAACUGUGAGACAGGUGCUGCAUGGCUGUCGUCAGCUCGUGUUGUGAAAUGUUGGGUUAAGUCCCGCAACGAGCGCAACCCUUAUCCUUUGUUGCCAGCGGU